UGCUGUGUUGCCAUACGCAUAACAAGCGAUUCACGUAAAGCUAAUUUAUUACAUUCAAUCAGAUUUUGUUUCACUAAUAACUACUUAAUUACCCUCAAAAUUAUCAAAUUAAUCCUAUCUGAUAAUAUGGGACUGAAGGACUAUGGAGCCAGUUGCCAAGUCGGGUUUCAGAAGGGAAAUUUCCUUCAUGUCUUGCGCUCUAACUACCGACUCGCGUUGGUGCCCGAUAUAAGGCGUCUUGCAGAGGGCACUGUUCACUCGCCUCCGCCAUCUGCUGCGAGAAGAAAGUGCUUUAAUAGCUCUCUAUUGAUCACCAUGUCGCAAACAGGACGUCCAGCAA